UGAGCUAUCAUCACAAUAAACAGAUUUCAUCUCAUCGUGAAUUUGUCGUGCAUGUGCAAGAACUUAAUGACACUGCACGCCUCAAUCUUCUCCAUACUUGGGGGUACUGGUGUGUAGGAUCAACUAGCACAAGUCUG